rnacentral:rRNA from 1 species
UUUAGUGGCGAACGGGUGAGUAACACGAUAAGUAACCUGCCUUUAAGACGAGGAUAACAACCGGAAACGGUUGCUAAGACUGGAUAGGAAACAAAAAGGCAUCUUUUUGUUUUUAAAAGACCUUCUUACGAAGGUAUGCUUAAAGAGGGGCUUGCGCCACAUUAGUUAGUUGGUAGAGUAAAAGCCUACCAAGACGAUGAUGUGUAGCUGGACUGAGAGGUUGAACAGCCACAUUGGGACUGAGACACGGCCCAAACUCCUACGGGAGGCAGCAGUAGGGAAUUUUCGGCAAUGGAGGAAACUCUGACCGAGCAACGCCGCGUGAACGAUGAAGUAUUUCGGUAUGUAAAGUUCUUUUAUUGAAGAAGAAAAAGUAGUGGAAAAACUAUAUUGACGUUAUUCAAUGAAUAAGCCCCGGCUAACUAUGUGCCAGCAGCCGCGGUAAGACAUAGGGGGCGAGCGUUAUCCGGAAUUAUUGGGCGUAAAGGGUGCGUAGGCUGUUAGAUAAGUCUAUAAUUUAAUUUCAGUGCUUAACGCUGUCUUGUUAUAGAAACUGUCUUGACUAGAGUGAGAUAGAGGCAAGCGGAAUUCCAUGUGUAGCGGUAAAAUGUGUAAAUAUAUGGAGGGAACACCAGAAGCGUAGGCGGCUUGCUGGGUCUUUACUGACGCUGAGGCACGAAAGCGUGGGUAGCAAACAGGAUUAGAUACCCUGGUAGUCCACGCCGUAAACGAUGAGUACUAAGUGGCGGGGUAAAACUCGGUACUGAAGGUAACACAUUAAGUACUCCGCCUGAGUAGUACGUACGCAAGUAUGAAACUUAAAGGAAAUUGACGGGACUCCGCACAAGCGGUGGAUCAUGUUGUUUAAUUCGAAGAUACACGAAAAAAUCUUACCAGGUCUUGACAUACUCUGCAAAGCUAUAGAAAUAUAGUGGAGGUUAUCAGGGAUACAGGUGGUGCAUGGUUGUCGUCAGUUCGUGUCGUGAGAUGUUAGGUUAAGUCCUAAAACGAGCGCAACCCUUGUCGUUAAUUGCCAGCACGUAAUGGUGGGGACUUUAACGAGACUGCCAAUUAAACAUUGGAGGAAGGUGAGGAUUACGUCAAAUCAUCAUGCCCCUUAUGAUCUGGGCUACAAACGUGAUACAAUGGCUGUGACAAAGAGUAGCUGAAACGCGAGUUUUUAGCCAAUCUCAAAAAAGCAGUCUCAGUUCGGAUUGAAGUCUGUAACUCGACUUCAUGAAGUUGGAAUCGCUAGUAAUCGCGAAUCAGCAUGUCGCGGUGAAUACGUUCUCGGGGUUUGUACACACCGCCCGUCAAACCACGAAAGUUAGCAAUACCCGAAAGCAGUAGCUUAACUUCGCAAGAAGAGGGAACUGUCUAAGGUAGGGUUGAUGAUUGGGGUUAAGUCGUAACAAGGUAUCCCUACCGGAAGGUGGGGAUGGAUCACCUCCUUUCU